CACGUAGGCACCAAGCGUUUGUCCGGGAUUUAUUGGGCGUAAAGAGCUCGUAGGCGGUCUGUCGCGUCGGAUGUGAAAACCCAGGGCUCAACCCUGGGCCUGCAUUUCGAUACGGGCAGACUAGAGUUCGGUAGGGGAGACUGGAAUUCCUGGUGUAGCGGUGGAAAUGCGCAGAUAUCAGGAGGAACACCGGUGGCGAAGGCGGAUCUCUGGGGCCAUAACUGACGUGAGGAGCGAAAAGCAUGGGG
rnacentral:rRNA from 1 species